rnacentral:sRNA from 1 species
CAUCUGCAGCAGCUUUUGCAGCAAUUCCGGAAAUAUAUUGUGACCAUGUCACAUAGUCAAAACCA